rnacentral:rRNA from 1 species
GAUGCUUAUUUCUAGAGAUAGAAAGUUCUUCGGUACAUCGGUGACAGGUGGUGCAUGGUUGUCGUCAGCUCGUGUCGUGAGAUGUUGGGUUAAGUCCCGCAACGAGCGCAACCCCUAUUGUUAGUUGCCAUCAUUCAGUUGGGCACUCUAGCGAGACUGCCGGUAAUAACCGGAGGAAGGUGGGAUGACGUCAAAUCAUCAUGCCCCUUAUGACCUGGGCUACACACGUGCUACAAUGGUUGGUACAACGAGUUGCGAGUCGGUGACGGCGAGCUAAUCUCUUAAAGCCAAUCUCAGUUCGGAUUGUAGGCUGCAACUCGCCUACAUGAAGUCGGAAUCGCUAGUAAUCGCGGAUCAGCACGCCGCGGUGAAUACGUUCCCGGGCCUU